rnacentral:rRNA from 1 species
UACGGGGGGAGCAAGCGUUGUUCGGAUUUACUGGGCGUAAAGGGCGCGUAGGCGGCCACCGCAAGUCGACUGUGAAAUCUCCGGGCUCAACCCGGAAAUGGCAUUGGAAACUACCUUGCUGGAGGAUUUGAGGGGGGAUUGGAAUACUUGGUGUAGCAGUGAAAUGCGUAGAUAUCAAGUGGAACACCAGUGGCGAAGGCGAAUCCCUGGAAAAUACCUGACACUGAGGCACGAAGCUAGGGGAGCAAACAGG